GGAUGCCGGAUAACGUCCGGUGGAGGCGACUCCAAGGCCAGUGCAACAGAAAUAUACCGCCUGCAGGGGACAUUUUGUUCCCGGCAGGUAAGGGUGGAAGGGCAGUGUAAGAGACUACCGCCUUGCUGGUAACAGCAGGGGCACAUGUAAACCCCAUCCGAAGCAAGACCGGAUAAAGACGAUGUGGCGGCCCGUCACGUCUUAGGUAGGUCGCUGGAACCUUCCGGCAACGAAAGGUCUAGAUAGAUGAUUACUCAACGACAUAACCCGGCUUAUCGUCUUGCUUGC
rnacentral:RNase_P_RNA from 1 species